rnacentral:rRNA from 1 species
GCAAGUCGAGCGCGAACGCUCCUUCGGGAGUUAUUAGAGCGGCGGACGGGUGAGUAAUGCAUGGGAAUCUGCCCAGUAGAGGGGGACAACAGCCGGAAACGGCUGCUAAUACCGCAUACGCCCUACGGGGGAAAGCAGGGGAUCUUCGGACCUUGCGCUAUUGGAUGAGCCCAUGUCAGAUUAGCUAGUAGGUGGGGUAAAGGCCCACCUAGGCGACGAUCUGUAGCUGGUCUGAGAGGAUGAUC